rnacentral:misc_RNA from 1 species
AACAUCGCGCACCUGCGGGAACCUGCGGAGGGAUCAUUACAGAGUUGCAAAACUCCCUAAACCAUUGUGAACGUUACCUAAACCGUUGCUUCGGCGGGCGGCCCGGGUCCUUCCCGGCGCCCCUCGGCCCUCGCGGGCGCCCGCCGGAGGUAAACCGAACUAUUGCAUUGUAUGGCCUCUCUGAGUCUUCUGUACUGAAUAAGUCAAAACUUUUAACAAUGGAUCUCAGAUCGGAAGAGC